AUCAAACCCAGUGCCUCACACAUGCUAGGCAAGGGCUCUACCACUGAGCUCUCCCCAGCCCUUUUUAUAGUUUACAUUUUAUUUUGAGAUAGAGUCUAGCUAAACUGCUGAGGGUGGCUUUAAACUUGCAAUCUUCCUGCCUCGGACUCUGGGAUUACUGGCAGGCGCGACUGUGCUUGGCUUGAGAUAGCCCCACUAGUGUCAACAUCCAAUCCGAAGAAAAGCCCCUGCUUCCUUCAGCCCUUCCCCAAAUCACUGAAUAGAAACACAUCGCAUAUGUCCUUCCUAACAUCCUGAGGCAUAUGCCUUAAAGUAUAUUGUGCUAGGAAUGUACUGUCAAAUUACCAUUUUUGUGCUUUUUCUAUUUUUGGUGCUGGGAAUCAAACCCAGGGCCUCAUGUAUGCCGAGCAAGAUCCUACCAUUCAGCUACACAUUUCUAGCCUCCAAAUUACUGUUUUUAAAGUCACUUGAAAUAAUUCUUUCUGUGAUUAUACCACCAGCUGGAUCCUUAGUUAGGAUCACUAGUUUCAUUUUGCUUUUGACUUUGAAAGAUAGUUGUUUAAAAUUUCACUUUUGUUUUAUAAAUACAUGAUUAUUUACAUGCUUUUGAAGUCAAAUCUUCAAAGUAAUAUAUAUUCAAAGGAAAUUAGUGGCAUUCCUUGUUCCAUCUUUUUUUCUCCUCCCAUAAGUAAUCUUUUAAAAUAUUUAGUUUUUCUUCCCAUUAUUCACUUUUUAGUUUUUAAUUUUUUUUUAGUUGUAGUUGGACACAAUACAUUUUAUUUAUUUAUUUAUUUAUAUGUGGUGCUGAGGAUCAAACCCAGGGCCUCACACGUGCCAUGCGAGUGCUCUAACACUGUGCCACAACCCCAGUUCCAAUUAUUUACUGUUUUAAAUUGUUAAUAACUUUGUGUAUAUUGGAUUCACCUUCCUAAUAUUCUGUUGAAGAUUUUUGCACUUAUGCUCACAGAGAAAUCAAUCUGUAGUUUUCCCUUCUUGUAAGGUCUUUAUCUCGUUUGGGGAUUAAGGGCAUGUUGGCCUCAUACAAUGGGUUAGGAAGUAUUUCCUCUGCUUCUAGUUCCU
rnacentral:lncRNA from 1 species